GAAUGGCUCAUUAAAUCAGUUAUCGUUUAUUUGAUAGUACCUUACUACUUGGAUAACCGUGGUAAUUCUAGAGCUAAUACAUGCUAAAAACCCCGACUUUUGGAGGGGUGUAUUUAUUAGAUAAAAAACCAAUGCCCUUCGGGGCUCCUUGGUGAUUCAUAAUAACUUAACGAAUCGCAUGGCCUUGUGCCGGCGAUGGUUCAUUCAAAUUUCUGCCCUAUCAACUUUCGAUGGUUAGGUCUUGGCUAACCAUGGUUUCAACGGGUAACGGGGAAUUAGGGUUCUAUUCCGGAGAGUGAGCCUGAGAAACGGCUAACACAUCCAAGGAAGGCAGCAGGCGCGCAAAUUACCCAAUCCCGAUUCGGGGAGGUAGUGACAAUAAAUACUGAUCCAGGGCUCUUUUGGGUCUUGGAAUUGGAAUGAGUACAAUUUAAAUCCCUUAACGAGGAACAAUUGGAGGGCAAGUCUGGUGCCAGCAGCCGCGGUAAUUCCAGCUCCAAUAGCGUAUAUUAAAGUUGUUGCAGUUAAAAAGCUCGUAGUCGGAUUUCGGGUGCUGCCCGGUGUAGCCACGGCGAACGCCGGGUGGGGCCUUCCUUCUGGGAUUCCUCUGCACUCUUUACUGAGUCGGAUGGCGUUCCAGGACGUUUACUGUGAAAAAAUUAGAGUGUUUAAAGCAGGCGAUUGCCGUGAAUACAUUAGCAUGGGAUAAUAGAAUAGGACUUUGGAACUAUUUUGUUGGUUUGGGUUACGAAGUAAUGAUUAAUAGGGACGGUUGGGGGCAUUCGGAUUCCGUUGUCAGAGGUGAAAUUCUUAGAUUAGCGGAAGACGAACAGCUGCGAAAGCGUCUGCCAAGGACGUUUU
rnacentral:rRNA from 1 species